UACGAAGGGGGCUAGCGUUGCUCGGAAUCACUGGGCGUAAAGCGCACGUAGGCGGCUUCUUAAGUCAGGGGUGAAAUCCUGGAGCUCAACUCCAGAACUGCCUUUGAUACUGGAGGAGCUUGAGUCCGGGAGAGGUGAGUGGAACUGCGAAGUGUAGAGGUGAAAUUCGUAGAUAUUCGCAAGAACACCAGUGGCGAAGGCGGCUCACUGGCCCGGUACUGACGCUGAGGUGCGAAAGCGUGGGAGCAAACAGGG
rnacentral:rRNA from 1 species